GCGUGGCGUUGUAAGCUGAAGUCAUUAGAUACCACGCACCUGUAGUCUGCUGGGGGCUGCUGGUCGGAGGUUGCUUUUGGGGCUGUUUUUUCCCCAUUGCAGCAUCAGGCCCCUGGAGCUGCCAGCUCAGUUUGGCCAGGCUGGGUGGCUUCUCCUUUAUUUUGUGUGCAAGGAUGGAGCACGUGUGUCCUGGGCACGUGUCUUGAUGUUUCCUUCUGUUGGACUCUCUAAUCAAGGCUGCUGAUAACACUGGAAGCCCACACAGAAGUGACUGCUUGAUGUGCUCAUCAGUGGAGGAGACAAAACUUCCUUUGAACUUGACAGCAGAGGAGAGCACCCAGGGAAGGCAGUUUGCCCAGGGAAGGCAAGGGUGACCCUGGAGCCAUGAAAAGUGAGUUGACGGGACCCGUGGGACUGCAGGCAGCGACUGUGAGGGGGCCAGCGCAUGGGGAUCACUACAGGAAUAACAGGGGAUCUCAGCAUGGGUUAGGGAAUGAAUGCCACACCACAAAUAUUUCUGUGGGAAUAUUUAACGCAAAUAAUCACGGAGCAAGAGCUGGGAGAGUGGCCUCCAAACCCACUUCGGUUUGAUAGACACAUUCCAGAAUCUGCAGAAGUGCGGUCACGGCUCGGCAGCAUCCGUCCCCCACUCCCAGAAACCCAAUGUGCUCAGAAGAUGGCCCCAAAUCAGCAAGACCAUGACCCAGUGACAGCACCUUCCCCUUGGAGGGGACACCACGCCACGUCCAGUCCUGUCCACAUGGCAGCAAGAGGAUUUUACAGUUUUGCAACCCUGAUUCAGCAAGUGCUACAGCAAUGCACUCAUGAGAUGAUACUGAAGCAUGUGCUGAAGUGUCUUGCUUGCAAUAAAGAAAGAUAACGUGCAACAGGCAGGCUGUAGGUACAUGCAGAUAAUGCCUGUCUUCCAAAGGUAAAGCUAUUUAAAUAAAUUGGCAGCAGUGUCAGCACUGAAGUAAGCCUUCGGUAGGAUGAAGUGUUUCAAGAGACUGGUGAAAGGGGCGCUUUUUGAAGCUGUUGGCUGCGAGUUUCUCAAAUGCUGCAGUAAGUCCUACCAGUAAGACGCUAUCGUGUCAGACAAGAACCACAGUAUUGCUGGUGUCUUGCAACACAUCUUGAGAGAAACGAGCAAAAUGUCCCCAAACCCAUGUUCAGGUGAGUCUUCGCCAGCCCUGCUGUAGGGAAACUCUUUGCUCUGCAUAGUCUGCAUGCUCACAAAGCGUGCUGAUGGAGCCAGCUAAACUUGGAAAGCUGGGCUUGACUGAAGGGGAAAUUUGAAAGCAAACCUCCAGGGAGGAACUAAGGCAAACUCUUACACUUUCUUUUUUUUUUUUUUUCUUCUUUUUUUUUUUUUUAAUUGAAAACUCUGCUGACUCAGUGCACUGUCUGCUCACAGCUCUAGAUGAAGCCUAGUAGAUGGGAAAAUCUCAGAAAAGUCCCUUCAAUGAGCAUUAGUUCACUCAUCUGGGUGCCCUCCUGCACACAAGCACAGGGUACGACUGGAGCUGCAUCUUCCCUUUGUGGGGCAGAGCAGCAUUGCUCCCAGCAUUGCUAAUCAUGGAAUCAGAGAACUAUUUAGGCUGGAAAAGAUCUUCAUCAAGUACAACAAUAAAGUCUGUGGAAACUUUAACAUUUUAAAAUGCAAAUUAAAGUCUAUUCCAUCUAAAAUCUAGGCUGGCAUGCCCCAGAAUACCCCACCCUGCGCUGUCUGAGCUUCUCCCAGCUACAGCCCCUAGCCCAGCACAGACAGCUUUUGGAAGGUGAUGCCCAUUGGCAUGCACCCUGCAGGCACCAUCACGGGAGGGAGGGGAGCUCUGUAACCGGUGCUGUCUGGGUUGUGAGUAGCUCAGUGGGGCCCUGCUACCUGGAAACCUCCGGGCCAUGACCCAAAUACCUAACCCAGCUGCCUUGAGAAACGAAGAUGCCUUCUAAGAAGCACAUUCCUCUUCAAACAGCAGAGCUGAAGGCAAGGUCACGUUUCUGACGCGCCCUGUUUGCGACAGCCCUUUAAGGAAUGAUUAACCAAACCGAACAGGCGGGCACGGGUACAGAGGCCCCAUCUGUCUGAGGAAGAGUCAGAAGUUAAUUUAAGUGACUUCUACAACAUGUCGCCUAAUUCCAGUGGCAGCAAAGCUAAUUAGGAUGGAGCUGGUCCAAGAGCACGGUGGUGUGGCAGGGGCACGGAGGAAGCGCUGCCACAAAGGCGCAAUCAGAGCGCGGUGACGCUAACGAGCAAGCCGGGCGCUGGGUACUGGGAGCCUGCGAGGAGGUGCUGAGCAGCAUAAUUAACCGGGUAUCUCGGUGCCAUUGAUAACUUCAUGAAUAUUUCAUGCUCUUUUCCCACCAAUCUGUACUGACAACUUGUGACACGGAACUAGCUGGGGUAAAACGCACUUAAUAUGCGGUUGCUGUAGCUGUAAAUUUAUCCUCAGACGUUGUUUUCUUAAAGAUUCUCCUCCAGGAGCCUGGCCGGCUGCUCAGCAACUCAUCCGAGCUCCGUAGGCCAAAGAGCAAAUGGAGCCCUUCUCUAAUGAGUGCUUUAAUGGUCUGAUAACAUCAAGCAAGUCAGCCCCGUGGGGCUGUGGCCCUCGUUAGGGAAUGCUAAAUUAGUGGGUCUGGGAGGAUGGUGCUGCAGCUUGAAGGGGUCACUCCUGGAGAGUGGAUGCAGCUGUACCUCCUCUUGCUCUGAUAAGAUUAACUUUCAGGAGCCAUGCUGAGAGAUUAAUUUUGCAUCUCUCCGUAUCAUCCGUGCAGUAGGAGCAGCAGCAGCAGCCUUGCCACAGAUAUUGCAAUUAUCUGUGACCGAAUGCCUGGAAUCACGCGUUGUUGUGUCUGCUGCCGUUACACGAGGGCUGUCAGCACGGAGCCUGCGAGUGCUGGGCAGGCAGCAGGGAAGCCAGAGCGGUGCAGGGCUCAACCCAGAGGUUAUCCAAGUCAUCAGGAAGCAUCACGUUGGCUCCUGCAGCCUUCGGCGAAGACACAGCUCCUUUCACUGUAACCACAUCUGAGCCCGUGCAACAGGCAUUACUUAAUAACCCCGAGUAGAGAAACAGAAGAAAUUUUCUUUGAAAGUAUGUGCCAAUCUCCCAAAUAGUAUUUCCAGCAAAAAGGCCCCUUAACAGCUACUGCUGCUGCAGACAGAAAAGGAAAAUGAGGCCUUCCUCACCUCUCCAGAGCCACAGUGCAACUAGUGCCAGGAAAUGGCUCUGAAAUUGAGGCUCAGGCUUUCGCCACUGCUUGUUCCACCUAUAAAGAAUGUCUGCAUUUCGGUGAGCUCUGAACUGGUGUUGUAAGCAUCUUCCAGACGGGGUUGGCUGUCUUAGAGGUUAUUGCAAGGCCCUUGCAAUACAGGCAGGGCGGAGAAUUUGUUUUACAAGGUGGCUGCAAACACCAUUUGUAAAUAAAACUCACUUAGAGCUUUAGUGUUUUAAUGCAGCCUCCCUAACAAGGCCCCGUAUGGGCUGGGACUGUAUGCAAAGAUGUUGCCUCUUCCAAAGAAGAUAUAGUUUGCAUCCUUUUAACAACUAUCCCUCUUUGUGUGUGCAAAUCCAUAGUUUUACUGGGGUCUGCAGAGGGCAAGAAGAGAAAGUGGGAAUAAAGGCAAAUGGAGAGAGACAUUCGCUACCACCCAAACAGGUGGCUUUUUCCCUUUCUUAAAGAUUCAGUGCACCAAAGUCAGGAAAAUCAAAAUUAUGGUUCCCCCAGCAGCCAUAACUCUGCCCCUGGCAGAGAAGGAGCGAGGCAUAAAUAUGAGCUCGUACCCAGCAGUACAUGCUACAUAUGUGCAGGGAGCUAAGUUAUGGGUGCUGCGGGAGCCAUGAUUUUGAAUGUCCUGACUUGUGAGUUUAAAUUCUCCAGUCCAAUAUUCUGGGUAGUUUCUUUCUCUCCUUUUUGCACUUUGUAGUUAUAAUUUAUAUUACAGCUCUCGGUCUCCUUUAUGCUGGCGCAGCAAUUUGGAUGAUGUGACUGGCUGAAGACUCUCUUCUUCACAAGAAAGUGAUUGCAGUUAUUAUUCGUAGAUUUUUCAAGGCUGGAUCCAGCUUUCUUUGUGUCACAAACCCUUAAGCUGAUCCGUGUCGCCCACCACUAGCAUUAAAGGUGAGGCUUUCUGGCAUUGGUAAGAUAUUCAUUAGGAGGGUGAAAUCAGAGCAGAAGUUGCACAGCGCCUUGGGCAGUGCCUGGGAGCCCCUCUCCAGUUCCAGCGUUUCUUCUGUUUCUUCUCAAUGUGACGAAACCUGAGCAUGAAUGGGAAGAGUUCACUCGUAAUGCGGCCAGCCCCUGCGGUGCCGAGCUGAGAAAGUCUGUGGUUGUUAUUUCCUCCUGCGGGGUGUUUGUGGAUGACCAUCGCUGUCCCGAGAGCACCAGCCUGCGCAGCAGACAGCACGGUGCGGCCAGGCAGACGGUGGGCAGCGUCUGGGCAAACGUGGUGGUGUGUCCUGCUCAUGGCCAUGCCCAGCUUUGCCUAUUUGAUGUGCUGUCCCUACAUGAACAUUUCCUUAAUGGCCCUUUACCUCUGGAGCUGCAGCGGGCCAUGGAGCGAGCUGUGAUGCCAGGGCCACCCUCUGCACCCCGACCAGCAGUGGGUGCAGAAGCAGAUGCUGGAGGGGUAAAGCCGUGACAGCAAUCCCUGUCAUCCUGGAGGAGCAGAGAGGUGGUCCCGACCCACACCCAGUGCUGCUGAGUGCACCCCGAGGGGAGCAGCGUGGCCAGGAUGUGGGACAAGGCUGGGUGCUGGGGUGGCCCUGUGCUCACAUCUGGUUCCUCGGUGGCACAGCCCGGCCUUUGAAGCUGCUGAAGCUGGUCCCACCCAGGGGAAUGGCUGAGGAUGGGAUUUGUUCUUUUUCAAAGGCUUUGUUCCCCUGACAGCCGAGCUGGAGUCCAACCUGACUGUCCACUGAAUCCAGCCCUUUCAUUUUCCCCUCUUUAAGUUUCGAGCUCGCACUUCACAUGCAGCGAGGGCAGGCUUAAGCUUGACUGUCAGAAUAAAAGCCUUUUCUUUCUGUAUCGCUUCCCCUCUGCAGCUCAAACCAGCUCCAACCCUGGCAAUGUCAACUUCAAAGGCUUCCCCACGCUGCAGCCACACUUCUGCCUGCGGAGACAAUUUUGGAAUCUCCUGAAGGCACAAGGAUGUUGGGACGCUGCGUGGCCUUUGGGGGCUCCAAGGGGAGAGAGCAGGACUCCAGGCACUGCCGUGCUGGCAGCAGGAGGGGUGCUGAGCUUGUCCUUGUGCACGGAAACCCUCCAGAGCUCUCCCGGCUGACAUUGGAUCAGAGACAAACAUAAACAAGCGCAGCCCUCCCAAGGCCGAAGGAAAGCCCCAGCCCCCUGGGGAGGCAGAGUUAAUUCCAGGAUGCUGCUGGACGAGCUCGAGUGAGGGCUUGGCUGUGGCAAAGCUCUCGCUUCCCGUCUUCGUUCUGGGCAACUUUUCUGGUAGGGGAAGUUGUCUGAGAUGCCAAUAAAGAUAAUAAUGUAUGAAGUGA